UGUCAAUAACACGCGCUGCAUUUGCGUACAGUGGAGACAGGGUUUGAAAUCUCUGGAUCACUGACUCACGAGGACGUGAAAUCAUUAUGAAAUUUUCGUUUCAUAGUAUACCAGUCAACCGCUACAAAUUCGCGAACACUGAGUUGAACCCUGUACGGAACCCAUGAGAUGACCGAGGCACAAAGCUGAUCGCAGUGUCUCACGUUUCACUGGAAAGAAGAAGACAACUAAUCUCGACAUUCGUCAGGUGUGGGCGAGAAAACGCCGAAAACCGGUCAUCUGGAGUAUGAAGACCUAGAGAAUUCAUCUACAGGAUGACACACUUGAGCUGGCAACAUUGGA